rnacentral:misc_RNA from 1 species
CUAAAUGGAUUAGUGGGGUCUGCUUUGCCGAUCCUUGACGUGAUAAGAUGUUUCUACGUCUUGGGUUUGACACCGCACCUGCUUCUAACCGUCUCAUCGACAAUGAUGGCGUUCCGGUCACCACUGUUUCAUCGGUGGGAGGCUUGACCCACCAAAAAAACCUUGACCUCAAAUCGGGUGAGACUACCCGCUGAACUUAA